UGUCUCAGCAAUUUUGCGUGUUUGUUGUAGUGUGUGUCAGUCAGGAAUGGAGAGAGCUCUUGGAGUAUUUUAAAAGCAGGAGGCCUCCUCCAAUCGUCUGCGGGCACAAAGAGCGGCUAAGCAGACCUCGUCAGGGGGCUUUAAAGAAACCCAUCAUCUGGCAGUUUGUCGCCUUGGAGAUGUCUUUGAAGAUUCAGGACUCCCGUUUGUGAGGCCCAGAGCUGAAGAGCCUCAUCCUUCACUUCUGCAUCCUCCCUCGACCUCCGAGGCUGAAAAAAUGAAGCUUUGCACCAGGCAGGAGUCACAGCAACAUUUCUGUUUUAUGUUUCUAAAAAGAAAGAUAUGCACAAAUAUUAUAUACCAUAUAUAUAUAUAUAUAUAUAUAUAUAU